CUGGGGGAACAGAAGCUCUAUUUCUGUUAGGUUGCUAGAGUGGUUGGUGCCAUCUUGUCACCUUGAAGGGAAAGCCCACCCAAGAAUGACACCAACACAGAGGGAAGUAAACAGAGCCAAGAGGUCAGCAGAGGUGGUUCCUGGUGCCAUUAUCCAGCACCCAGCUACAGACCAGAGCUUCAUAAACCUAUUUCUGACUGCAGGGAGAGGCCUAUACUAGUCCAUGUCAUGGAACACCUAUGGAUCAACACUGGUCAGGAGGAGACACGAAGGCCAUACCGGGAGCUGCUCUCUGAUUACCAGGACUCCUGAAACACAGAGCUCAUGGUGUCCGUGGGAUAUGAGGCAGACCACAUCCAGUCCUUGUUAGAACAAAAAUUUGAUGAUACCAUGGCCUGGUACUGAAUCCUGGGCUACAGGAAACCUGAUGCAGGGCUCCAUCAUCACAGCAAAGUCUUUGCCUUCAGUGGAUCCCACCCAACAGCUACUAGCCUUCCCCAUCACCUGAAAGAAACUCUUAUGCUUUAACAUACAAAACUUGUUAAAAACAUUGGGAAAAGGUGCACAGUUCGUAUGUUCUUCAUUUGUUCACUCUUAAGGGUACAAAGUGUCUUGUCAUUCGUGCUGGUCUAAAUAUUGUGGGUUGACAUAAAAUUUGAGGUAUAGUAAGGCCAACAGGUCAGGAAACAAGUAUUGUACAACUGAAAAGAUAAUUUGUUGCCCACAGUUCCCCAGGGGACAGGCACACAACAUGCAGGACCACACAGGGAAGCACCGGUGGGGGUCAGUAGGCAGAGGGAGUGGGAGAGCUGUGGGCAAGAACCUUUGUUGUGCUUCCUUCUCGGUUUUGCCCAGGAACAGCUCCUUGGCGACAGCUUGGAUGGGUGGACUGGUGUACAGCAGGUGCCAGCACAUGGUGAAGGCCACUGGAGACUGGCAGGAAUGCACCUCACUUGGGGUAGGCUGCAAGAGCCCAGUGCUGCUCAUGCUGCCCUGGUUGCUGUGGCCACUACUGCCAUUCCCUGCUCAGCACUUCAGCAUCUGGUCUGUGCAGCCUGAUGAUGCCCUCUCUUUUCUAGUUUUAAGACUUGUGUGUUUUGUAAAGGCCUUACUGUAUGUAAAUUAGUUCUCAAUUUAAAAAGAAAAUACCAAGACAAGUAAGGAGAAAUAUUUUUCAAAUGCCUAUUGGGGCCAAAGCCAGGACUGUUUUGAAAGUGUCUAGUUCUUCCAAGUACUCUCUUUUCUUUCUUUCCUUCCUUUUUUCCUUUCCUUGUUUCCUCUUCUUUUACAACAGUGAACACUCCCAAAUCUAGCACCUACUAACAGGUAUUUCUGUACCAUCACUUUUUCGAAAACUGUAAUUAUUAAUCGUACAGGAUUUGAAGGUUUUUUUCUAUUUAUGUCCCAAAAUACAAUUAGCUUCUAGUGAAUUCUUAUCCUUUGAUGUCAGCUAGGGAAACACUUCAGAGACAUAAAUAUUGUGAGCCAAGUGACAUGCCACCAUCCCACAAUGGGUCUCACUGCCUAAGAGAAUGGGCCAGUCAUGGUAGGGGUAAGACAAGGAUUUCAAUCUAUGAUCCUGCUAAUGGGCCAGAAAUAGUCCAAUUUUCUUAGUUAUUUGAGGACUGAGAACUUCUCAAGACUUAGUGAAUCGCAUAAGGGUGUUCAGAUCAGAGUACAGUAUUCAGAGUUUCUGAUUAAAACUGACUUUUAAAAGUGAGCAAAAUGAAUAUUCUGCGCUGACAGCUUUGCCUGCACUAAUGGUCCAGGGAGAGUCACAUGGAUUUUUCUUCCUGGAAAGGGCCACAGGAAUAGCCAUGCCUUUACAGUGUUUGCAUGUUGUUGAGUGGAUGUUCUUAGUUUUCCACCUGGUUUGACCCUAAUAGGUUAUAUGGCAAAUAUAAAACCUCUGUGAACCUUGAUUUUUCUGGGGAAAGGAGAGAGGAGGAAAGAAAAAAACAUACCAAUAGUAUCAAAUCAGCCUCAGAUCUUCAGGACAGACGGCGCUAAAAUACACAAUAUUACUAAUGAGUAGCUGCAAAUGGGGGGUGGGGGAGAACAGAAGGCUGAUUUUGCUUUAUCUGUAAGCCAUAUGUUCUCACAAUAAUGACUUUAACUCUGGACUCCUAGGGGGCAUAUUAACUAAGUAAUGUUUCAUAGAAAUAUGUAAUUAACCUACCUGUGGAGCCUCUUUCCAUGCAUUAUGGAAAGAUCACAAAAUAUUGCCCUGGAUUUCUUGGGCAAGAUUCCUGAUACCUGUCAUAAAUUCUUGGGAAAGCUGAGUCCUAGAACUACUUUUCAAAUUUUAGGUUUACACAUUUCUUUCAGGAGCAGUGUAUCUACUAUGGAUGAUCUUACACAAGCAUUUUCUCUUCUGAUCUUUGUUCUUAUUAGCUAAUUGUAAAAUUCAAUCAGGAACUGAUGAAGGGGUUGAAACUCAAGUUUACUUGCUACUUGUUAGAAUCUUUGAAUUAUUUGAGGUUUUAAUCAUCAGUGUUGUAUUAGUCCGUUCUCACACUGCUAUGAAGAACUACCUGAGACUGGGUAAUUUAUGAAUAAAAGAGAUUUAACUGAUUC
rnacentral:lncRNA from 1 species